rnacentral:rRNA from 1 species
UACGAAGGGGGCUAGCGUUGUUCGGAUUUACUGGGCGUAAAGCGCACGUAGGCGGAUCGUUAAGUCGGGGGUGAAAUCCUGGAGCUCAACUCCAGAACUGCCUUCGAUACUGGCGAUCUUGAGUCCGGAAGAGGUGAGUGGAACUCCUAGUGUAGAGGUGGAAUUCGUAGAUAUUAGGAGGAACACCGGUGGCGAAAGCGACUAUCUGGAACGUUACUGACGCUGAGGCGCGAAAGCGUGGGGAGCAAACAGGAUUAGAUACCCUUGUAGU